rnacentral:rRNA from 1 species
CGAACGCUGGCGGCGUGCCUAAUACAUGCAAGUCGAACGCUUCUUUUUCCACCGGAGCUUGCUCCACCGGAAAAAGAGGAGUGGCGAACGGGUGAGUAACACGUGGGUAACCUGCCCAUCAGAAGGGGAUAACACUUGGAAACAGGUGCUAAUACCGUAUAACAAUCGAAACCGCAUGGUUUUGAUUUGAAAGGCGCUUUCGGGUGUCGCUGAUGGAUGGACCCGCGGUGCAUUAGCUAGUUGGUGAGGUAACGGCUCACCAAGGCCACGAUGCAUAGCCGACCUGAGAGGGUGAUCGGCCACAUUGGGACUGAGACACGGCCCAAACUCCUACGGGAGGCAGCAGUAGGGAAUCUUCGGCAAUGGACGAAAGUCUGACCGAGCAACGCCGCGUGAGUGAAGAAGGUUUUCGGAUCGUAAAACUCUGUUGUUAGAGAAGAACAAGGAUGAGAGUAACUGUUCAUCCCUUGACGGUAUCUAACCAGAAAGCCACGGCUAACUACGUGCCAGCAGCCGCGGUAAUACGUAGGUGGCAAGCGUUGUCCGGAUUUAUUGGGCGUAAAGCGAGCGCAGGCGGUUUCUUAAGUCUGAUGUGAAAGCCCCCGGCUCAACCGGGGAGGGUCAUUGGAAACUGGGAGACUUGAGUGCAGAAGAGGAGAGUGGAAUUCCAUGUGUAGCGGUGAAAUGCGUAGAUAUAUGGAGGAACACCAGUGGCGAAGGCGGCUCUCUGGUCUGUAACUGACGCUGAGGCUCGAAAGCGUGGGGAGCAAACAGGAUUAGAUACCCUGGUAGUCCACGCCGUAAACGAUGAGUGCUAAGUGUUGGAGGGUUUCCGCCCUUCAGUGCUGCAGCUAACGCAUUAAGCACUCCGCCUGGGGAGUACGACCGCAAGGUUGAAACUCAAAGGAAUUGACGGGGGCCCGCACAAGCGGUGGAGCAUGUGGUUUAAUUCGAAGCAACGCGAAGAACCUUACCAGGUCUUGACAUCCUUUGACCACUCUAGAGAUAGAGCUUCCCCUUCGGGGGCAAAGUGACAGGUGGUGCAUGGUUGUCGUCAGCUCGUGUCGUGAGAUGUUGGGUUAAGUCCCGCAACGAGCGCAACCCUUAUUGUUAGUUGCCAUCAUUCAGUUGGGCACUCUAGCAAGACUGCCGGUGACAAACCGGAGGAAGGUGGGGAUGACGUCAAAUCAUCAUGCCCCUUAUGACCUGGGCUACACACGUGCUACAAUGGGAAGUACAACGAGUCGCGAAGUCGCGAGGCUAAGCUAAUCUCUUAAAGCUUCUCUCAGUUCGGAUUGCAGGCUGCAACUCGCCUGCAUGAAGCCGGAAUCGCUAGUAAUCGCGGAUCAGCACGCCGCGGUGAAUACGUUCCCGGGCCUUGUACACACCGCCCGUCACACCACGAGAGUUUGUAACACCCGAAGUCGGUGAGGUAACCUUUUGGAGCCAGCCGCCUAAGGUGGGAUAGAUGAUUG